rnacentral:tRNA from 1 species
GCCCGGGUGGCGGAACUGGUAGACGCAGCGGACUUAAAAUCCGCCGGCCUAACUUGGCUGUGCCGGUUCGACUCCGGCCCCGGGCACCA